GGAAGCUCGGAAGCUCCGAGUGCCGUCCGCAGGGACAGGUUGGGAAGGGUCCGGGUAUGUGGUGGGCCCCGGUCUCUGAGCGUGGUCGGACUCAAGGGGAGCAUCCGCCGUGAGUGUGGGGCUUAGCGCCUUCGCCUCCCCUGGGUCCCCUGCCCGGCCCGCCGCGCGCAAAGGCCCUGCCGGCUCCUGGAUCCUGUCCCCCGCUGGGCCCAGCGCGUCCCCGCCUAUCACACUCGAAAAACCUGAAGACCUUGGAUGAUAUUUGUCCCAGUUGGCAACUUGGGCUUGAGUGCCUUCAAAGAGGGGCCUCAGGCGGUUGUCAGGAGGCCCCCCGUCCGCUGCAUACGCCCCCUCCGGUCAUUCCUGCUGCUGCUUUUCUCCUUUUCGUCUUUCCCCCUCAGUCCUUUACGACCCCUUCUCCCUUGUUUACGGAUGCUGAUUUCCUUUCUGGAGAGUUGUUUGGGCCUGCAGUACGGGGCACCGCUUGCUGCCCUCAGGAGAGGGUUGCAGUCGUGACCCCAAACAUCCUCUCCCGAGAGGUACUGAGAACUUGGUCCUGAUGUCUGAUCAUGGAGAUGUGAGCCUUCCUCCCGAAGACCGGGUGAGGGCUCUCUCCCAGAUGGGUAGCACAGUGGAGAUAAAUGAAGACAUCCCACCCCGACGGUACUUCCGCUCUGGAGUCGAGAUUAUCCGAAUGGCAUCCAUUUACUCUGAGGAAGGCAACAUUGAGCAUGCCUUCAUUCUCUAUAACAAGUAUAUCACGCUCUUCAUCGAGAAACUACCAAAACAUCGAGAUUACAAAUCAGCUGUCAUUCCUGAAAAGAAAGACACACUAAAGAAAUUAAAGGAGAUUGCAUUUCCCAAAGCAGAAGAGCUGAAGGCAGAGCUGUUAAAACGAUACACCAAAGAAUAUACAGAUCAUAAUGAAGCAAAAAAGAAGGAGGCGGAAGAAUAUGCCCGGAACAUGGCCAUCCAGCAGGAGAUGGAAAAGGAAAGACAAAGGGUAGCACAACAGAAGCAGCAACAGCUGGAGCAGGAACAGUUCCGUGCCUUUGAGGAGAUGAUCCGGAACCAGGAGCUAGAAAAGGAGCGGCUGAAAAUUGUGCAGGAGUUUGGGAAGGUGGACCCUGGCCUAGGCGGCCCACUGGUGCCUGACUUGGAGAAGCCCUCCCUAGAUGUGUCCCCCACGGCACCUGUUGCAUCCACACAGCCCUCAGACUGUAAUAUAACCAUAAGGCCUGCCAAGCCACCUGCGGUGGAUAGGUCCUUGAAACCUGGAUCGCUGAGCAACUCAGAAAGUACUCCUACAAUCGACGGACUGCGCCACGUGGUGGUGCCCGGGAGGCUGUGCCCGCAGUUUCUCCAACUAGCCAGUGCCAACACUGCUCGGGGAGUCGAGACCUGUGGCAUCCUCUGUGGAAAACUGAUGAGGAAUGAAUUUACCAUCACCCAUGUUCUCAUCCCCAAGCAAAGUGCUGGGUCUGAUUAUUGCAACACGGAGAAUGAAGAAGAGCUUUUCCUCAUCCAGGAUCAGCAGGGCCUCAUCACACUGGGCUGGAUUCAUACUCAUCCCACACAGACUGCCUUCCUCUCCAGUGUUGACCUGCACACGCACUGCUCCUACCAGAUGAUGUUGCCGGAGUCCAUAGCCAUUGUUUGCUCCCCCAAGUUCCAGGAAACUGGAUUCUUUAAACUAACUGAUCAUGGACUAGAGGAGAUUUCUUCCUGUCGCCAGAAAGGAUUCCAUCCACACAGCAAGGAUCCACCGCUCUUCUGUAGCUGCAACCACGUGACCGUUGUGGACAGAGCAGUGACCAUCACAGACCUUCGCUGAGAGUUUAACUCAAGCCCCUGUCAAGAACUAUAAAACCACAUCAGUGUACUGUAGCCCCUUAAGUUAAACUUUCCAGAAAGCUUUGGAAGAUUAAUUAGACAGGAUAGAAAGAAGGAUCUAAAUGCCAUGGCUCAGACAUGGUGUCUUGGUCCUGUGCUGCCACCCCAGAGUCACCUGUGCCUGACGUCUGAACAUGAGCAUUAGCUCUCAGCAGAGAGAGCCAGGUGUUGAGCUCUACUUCCAGCUGCCAGGACAGACGGCUUUCCUGCCCAACAGGCUCACUCAGUGGGUGGUCCAAGAAGGCGUACCUGCAAUGAAGACUGAAAGGGAGAGCUUGUAGAGGUGAAGGGAGACCAGGAGAUAGUGAUACCACUAUAUUGUUACAGAAACCAUGGAAGACAACAGUUUAAAGGAAGGAGGAGAGUAGUGUCAGAUGGCUCAGGAGAAAUUUUCUGGGCUGAGGACAAAGCUGAUUCCAAGAUGUGAUCUGGCACUUAGCAGAGGUCUUCCCUGACAUCCCCACCUAAAACACUUCCACUCCAUCACCCUACGAUAGCUGUUUUACUGUCUGUACUGCACUGUCAUUAGCUGAAGUCAUCCUGUUGGUUUAUUUGUAGCUUAUGUAUCUCCUUAAGUAACUCCUUAAAAACAGCAACUUUGCCUUGUUCAUCCUUGUAUUCUCAGCUCCCAUCACAGUGCCUGACACUCAAUAAGGUAGAACAAAUGCAUAGACUUGUCCAAAGUGACCCAGUUAGUAAGUGGGAAGGCUUUGGUUGGGGGUGAGGGACAGAGCAGUAAAUAUGCACACAUUUUGACUAGUGAUUUUAAAGACUGUACAAUUUAAAAAUUAACAAGUUAAUCAUACAAUAGGUUAACUUUUAGAAGGUAAAAGAAGGAAAGCAUGAGAAAAUACUACAUAUAUAGUCAUUUGUCUUUAUUUAGAAAUGAGUGAUAAUGCAAUAUCACAAAUCAAACUUCUGAAAUUUCCACAAAUUGUACAAAGAAGGAAAUUUAGAACUUUAAAUGCUUUAAUUAUUUAAUAAAGAAUCAAAAGAUAUGAGUUAAGCAUUUGACUCAUAUUAGGAAAAAGAAUGAGAUAUACUAGGAAAGCCAAAAAGAAAGAAAUAUGAAAGCAGAUAUUACUAAGUUUUAAAAUGAGAGAAUUGGUAGACAUAUUGAUAGUCAUUCUUCCGGGGGCGGGGGGGGGCAGUAAAAUAGCCAGAGACAAAAAAAUUAGAUAUAAAAAAUGCACAUUAUAAAAAGUCCUAUGUAGGACUUCUGCUCAAGAUGGAGGCAUACAUAAACACAUCUUGCCUCCUUGCACAACUAUGGCAAAAUUAUAACUAGACUACAAAACAAGUGUCACCCAGAAACAUCAGAAAAUCAAACUGUAUGAAAGUCCAACAAACAAGGAUUUAAAGAAAGCACAUUCAUCCAGACAGGUAGGAGGGCCAGCUAUGUGCAAAGAAGCACCGAGAGGUGGAAAGGCCCAGAGACAGGCACCCAGUCACAGAACAGGUGGUCCCACAUCCAUGUGUGGUGGAUAGAGCUUGAAGGGCUAUCUUGGAAUCAAGGGAUCACAGCCCCAGACCAUACCAUCCAGCCCAGGGUUCCAUCGCCAGGAAGAUAAGUCCCCAUAACUUCUGGCUGUGAAAACCAGUGGAGGUUGGGGUGGUGAAAGAAACUGUGGGGUUCUCAAGAGACUCUCAAAGGGCCUGCAAUGGACUUAGGACUCAUGCAGACCCAACCCCUCUGGGAUUUAGCACCAGGGGCAACAGCUGGAAGGGCACCAGUGGCAUAUGGGGAGAAAGCAAAGUGACUGGCAACAGGGCAAGUGCCGGGAGACAGCUUCCUCCCAGGUAAAGCUUCUGAGGCCAGGUAGUGGCAUUGUCCCCUUGUGAGCCCUCCCCCACACAGCAACAGUGGUGGCAUGAGUUGCCCUGCCCUGGUGAUUACCUAAGGCUCCACCCCAUCCAGCUUACAGGUGUACCUUUCUACAAUAGGCCAUGCUUCUAAGAC